rnacentral:rRNA from 1 species
CCUACGGGAGGCAGCAGUGGGGAAUCUUGCGCAAUGGGCGAAAGCCUGACGCAGCCAUGCCGCGUGUAUGAUGAAGGUCUUAGGAUUGUAAAAUACUUUCACCGGUGAAGAUAAUGACUGUAGCCGGAGAAGAAGCCCCGGCUAACUUCGUGCCAGCAGCCGCGGUAAUACGAAGGGGGCUAGCGUUGCUCGGAAUUACUGGGCGUAAAGGGAGCGUAGGCGGACAUUUAAGUCAGGGGUGAAAUCCCAGAGCUCAACUCUGGAACUGCCUUUGAUACUGGGUGUCUUGAGUGUGAUAGAGGUAUGUGGAACUCCGAGUGUAGAGGUGAAAUUCGUAGAUAUUCGGAAGAACACCAGUGGCGAAGGCGACAUACUGGAUCAUUACUGACGCUGAGGCUCGAAAGCGCGGGGAGCAAACAGGAUUAGAUACCCUGGUAGUCCACGCCGUAAACGAUGAUUGCUAGUUGUCGGGAUGUUUACAUCUCGGUGACGCAGCUAACGCAUUAAGCAAUCCGCCUGGGGAGUACGGUCGCAAGAUUAAAAACUCAAAAGGAAUUGACGGNNGAGACGNGCGAGACGACACGAGGAGAGG